rnacentral:rRNA from 1 species
UACCAGCACCCCGAGUGGUCGGGACGUUUAUUGGGCCUGAAGCAUCCGUAGCCGGUUCUACAAGUCUUCCGUUAAAUCCAGCUGCUUAACAGAUGGGCUGCGGAAGAUACUAUGGAGCUAGGAGGCGGGAGAGGCAAGCGGUACUCGAUGGGUAGGGGUAAAAUCCGUUGAUCCAUUGAAGACCACCAGUGGCGAAGGCGGCUUGCCAGAACGCGCUCGACGGUGAGGGAUGAAAGCUGGGGGAGCAAACCGG